UACCGGCAGUUCGAGUGAUGGCCGUUCUUAUUGGGCCUAAAGCGUCCGUAGCCGGCCAGGUAAGUUCGUCGGGAAAUCCACAUGCUCAACAUGUGGGCGUCCGGCGAAACCUGCCUGGCUUGGGACCGGACGGCCCGAGGGGUACGGCCGGGGUAGGAGUGAAAUCCUGUAAUCCCGGCCGGACCACCGGUGGCGAAAGCGCCUCGGGAGGACGGAUCCGACGGUGAGGGACGAAAGCCAGGGUCACGAACCGG
rnacentral:rRNA from 1 species